rnacentral:rRNA from 1 species
GAUGAACGCUGGCGGCGUGCCUAAUACAUGCAAGUCGAGCGAAGCGGGGACGGGGGUGUAACACGUGGGUAACCUCCUAUAAGACUGGGGUUACUUCGGGAAACCGGAGCUAAACCGGCUACUUAUAGAUGGAUCCGAGCUGCAGUAGCUGGUGGGUAAGGUAACGGCUUACAAAGGCAACGAUGCAUAGCCGACCUGAGAGGGUGAUCGCCCACACUGGAAAGGAGACACGGUGCAUCCUACGACGGGAAGCAGCGGUAGGGAAUCUUCCGCGAUGGGCGACAGCCUGACGGAGCAACGCCGCGUGAGUGAGGACGGUCUUCGGAUCGUAAAACUCUGUUAUUAGGGAAGCGGUACCUAAUCAGAAAGCCACGGCUAACGACGUGGCAGCCGCGGUAAUUC